CUGGUUUUCACAAUGAUUUGACAGAUGUGUACGAUAUCUGAGAUCAUUGUGAAAGCUGAUU
rnacentral:pre_miRNA from 1 species